rnacentral:lncRNA from 1 species
AUUUCCUGAGAAAUACCCUGAGCCUAUCUCUUUCUCAUUGAUUUUACAACCGUUUGAUUUUAUAGCUGCUGUUAUUUUCAUCGUUUUCACUUAGCGUAGUUCAAGCCUAGAUAGUUUAUUGUGCGAAUCUCUCGUCUCUGUGGUUCGACCCCUAUUGUACUACAAUUGCAUAUCUGUGCUCUUGCAGAGUAGCUCUAGGGAUUAAACUUUGAGC